rnacentral:rRNA from 1 species
AUCAACGGGAUCACGAAAACUAUACUGUCUCCCCCCUAAAAUCAAUGAAACUGAUCUCCUCGUGAAGAAACGAGGAUGUAUAUAUAAGACGAGAAGACCCCAUGGAGCUUUAAACGAACUUCAAUUGUUCCUACCCAUAACAUACAAAUUGAACACCCCUGAUAGUUAGUUUUAGGUUGGGGUGACCGCGGAGUAAAACAAAACCUCCACAAUGAAUGAAAUAAAAUUCUUAUAAAAGAACCACAAUUCUAAUAAUCAAAAAUUUGACAUAAAUUGACCCAAACACUUGAUCAAUGAACCAAGUUACCCUGGGGAUAA